rnacentral:rRNA from 1 species
AUGCACGCUGGCGGCGUGCCUAAUACAUGCAAGUCGAGCGAACGGACGAGAAGCUUGCUUCUCUGAUGUUAGCGGCGGACGGGUGAGUAACACGUGGAUAACCUACCUAUAAGACUGGGAUAACUUCGGGAAACCGGAGCUAAUACCGGAUAAUAUUUUGAACCGCAUGGUUCAAAAGUGAAAGACGGUCUUGCUGUCACUUAUAGAUGGAUCCGCGCUGCAUUAGCUAGUUGGUAAGGUAACGGCUUACCAAGGCAACGAUGCAUAGCCGACCUGAGAGGGUGAUCGGCCACACUGGAACUGAGACACGGUCCAGACUCCUACGGGAGGUAGCAGUAGGGAAUCUUCCGCAAUGGGCGAAAGCCUGACGGAGCAACGCCGCGUGAGUGAUGAAGGUCUUCGGAUCGUAAAACUCUGUUAUUAGGGAAGAACAUAUGUGUAAGUAACUGUGCACAUCUUGACGGUACCUAAUCAGAAAGCCACGGCUAACUACGUG